CCUACGGGUGGCAGCAGUGGGGAAUAUUGGACAAUGGGCGAAAGCCUGAUCCAGCAAUGCCGCGUGUGUGAAGAAGGCCUUCGGGUUGUAAAGCACUUUGAUCUGGGAAGAAAAAGCUUUGGCUAACAUCCAAAGCCUUGACGGUACCAGAGGAACAAGCACCGGCUAACUCUGUGCCAGCAGCCGCGGUAAUACAGAGGGUGCUAGCGUUAAUCGGAUUUACUGGGCGUAAAGCGUGUGUAGGCGGUUCGUUAAGUCGGAUGUGAAAGCCCUGGGCUCAACCUGGGAAUUGCAUUCGAUACUGGCGGGCUAGAGUACGGUAGAGGGCGGCGGAAUUCCGGGUGUAGCGGUGAAAUGCGUAGAUAUCCGGAGGAACACCGAUGGCGAAGGCAACCGCCUGGGCCUGUACUGACGCUGAGACACGAAAGCGUGGGGAGCAA
rnacentral:rRNA from 1 species